UACGUAGGGGGCAAGCGUUGUCCGGAUUUAUUGGGCGUAAAGAGCGUGUAGGCGGCCGUACAGGUCAGCUGUGAAAACUCGAGGCUCAACCUCGAGACGUCGGUUGAAACCGUACGGCUAGAGUCCGGAAGAGGAGAGUGGAAUUCCCGGUGUAGCGGUGAAAUGCGCAGAUAUCGGGAAGAACACCCGUGGCGAAGGCGGCUCUCUGGGACGGUACUGACGCUGAGACGCGAAAGCGUGGGGAGCGAGCCGG
rnacentral:rRNA from 1 species